GGGACACCGAUGAUGCCAACCACCUCGCUCCACCCCUAACCCGCUCCUCCAGCCCCGGCUCCCGGACAGGACCAGUCGGCUGUCCCGCUCCGUCGGGGCUGGAGUUCGCCGGUCCCCGCGCCCGAAACACAGCGGGCCCUCAACGCAACGCGAGGCCACUCGGGGGGAAGAGAAAAACCCAAGAAGCAAAGAACAAAGUCUUCCAGUCACAAGCAACUCAGUGGGACAUGUCUUCCUAGUCCUGCAUAUAUAGACCCAACACCCCAUUUUAUGUGAUAGAGAUUGUAGUUUUUAUUGUGCUUCUCCACACAUCAUGAAUAUUCAGCAAUUCAAAAUCCCAAAACUACAUGAGUAUUCUUGAUAACCAAGAAUAUACUAUACCAACUCAGUCUGUUAGAAAAAAACUAUAAUUCUGCUUUUCUUUGGACAAGAAUCUCGCUGAAAACAGAAAUGGCAACAAGGCUGUAGAUAGAUGUAUUGGCAGUGUUACAAUUAAAAUACUAUGUUCUGCUAAUGCUCAAUUCAAAGUGAGACAUAAAGCAAUGAAUAUACCAA